AUUGAACGCUGGCGGCAUGCUUUACACAUGCAAGUCGAACGGCAGCACGGACUUCGGUCUGGUGGCGAGUGGCGAACGGGUGAGUAAUACAUCGGAACGUGCCCAGUUGUGGGGAUAACUACUCGAAAGAGUAGCUAAUACCGCAUGAGAACUGAGGUUGAAAGCAGGGGAUGGCAAGACCUUGCGCAACUGGAGCGGCCGAUGGCAGAUUAGGGAGUUGGUGGGAUAAAAGCUUACCAAGCCGACGAUCUGUAGCUGGUCUGAGAGGACGACCAGCCACACUGGGACUGAGACACGGCCCAGACUCCUACGGGAGGCAGCAGUGGGGAAUUUUGGACAAUGGGCGAAAGCCUGAUCCAGCAAUGCCGCGUGCAGGAUGAAGGCCUUCGGGUUGUAAACUGCUUUUGUACGGAACGAAAAGCUUCGGGUUAAUACCCUGGAGUCAUGACGGUACCGUAAGAAUAAGCACCGGCUAACUACGUGCCAGCCGCCGCCGUAAGAC
rnacentral:rRNA from 1 species